GAUGAAGAACGUAGCGAAAUGCGAUACUUGGUGUGAAUUGCAGAAUCCCGUGAACCAUCGAGUCUUUGAACGCAAGUUGCGCCCGAAGCCACUAGGCCGAGGGCACGCCUGCCUGGGCGUCACACGCCGUUGCCCCCCCAUCUACUCCUUCGGGAUUGCGGGGGGGCGGAUGAUGGCCUCCCGUGCGCCUAGCCGCGCGGUUGGCAUAAAUACCAAGUCCUCGGCGACGCACGCCACGACAAUCGGUGGUUGCGAAACCUCGGUUGCCCGUCGUGUGCGUUCGUCGCGCAUCGAGGGCUCGAAAAAAUGCUCGGCUCCGGCUGGGCUUUCAACGCGACCCCAGGUCAGGCGGGGUUACCCGCUGAAUUUAAGCAUAUCAAAGCGGAGGA
rnacentral:misc_RNA from 1 species